GCAAGGGCAGAAGCCUGCCCCACACCUGCAUGCAGGCACGCUUUCUGUUUUCACAGGCGCAUCAGUGCAGAUGGUUCAAUAACCACUAACUGCGCCUUGUGCGGGGGAGCUACGCGCGACGCUGGUAGCCGCAAGGUGAAAGCUGCUUCUCCGGCCUCGCGGAGCCCGGCAGCGGCAGCUGUGAAAUACUCAAACGGCACCAGCYAGAGACACUGCAGGAGUUGUCGCUGGGCGCACUGGAGGCUGCUACGUGGACGGCAGAGACUUGGGAGGCAGCGCUGGCGGGCUGUGAGGCUGUGGUGAGAAGUCCGAGAGGGAACUUCGCCAUUCGUAGAAGCUGAGACAGUCGCUACAGACACAGAGCAGACCCAAGAUGUGAAGGGUGAUGGCAAUCCUGGGUGGUGAGCUGCCGCAGCCGUCACUCCUCAUCCUCACCAUCACCGUGCUGGGUCAAGAGARCAGAAACUGUAAUUCAGAAAACUCCCAAUGAAGAGCCUCUUUUGCAAGCGUCAUGGACAGUGGGGCAGAGAAACUARGGGCGAAAAUGGAGGUGUAAUUAAAAAUUAGGAGCUGGACCUCAGGAAAGAAGAUUAAGGUAUUAGGCAAAGGCAAAAGCUGCAGUGACUGCACAACAGCACUUAAUUUUCUCUCCCAGGGCAGCCUGGAUUCCUGACUCCUAGCCACUUGGUAAUGUUUUUGUGAUUGCGAUGUCAGUCAGUACAAAACGUCUGCCUGCUCUCCCCUGUUCAGCCUGGUAUUAUCAUCUCACAGUAAUUACAUUUUCACAAAAUGAGACAGAAUAAAUAUGUGGGUUUU
rnacentral:lncRNA from 1 species